rnacentral:lncRNA from 1 species
GAGAGCCUGCCCUUCAGCCCAAAGAAACGUCCAAGGCCUGGCCCACAGCAAAGAGACUGGACUUGGUCAUUCCAACCAGGCCCUAAAUUCCUCUUCUGCCUUUCACUGAAAAUAUCUUUCCUCCUCUGACAGUGGAGGGGUUUGAUGUCAUCUGGAAUGAACCCCUUCCCAGGCUGCCCCUGAUUUCCCUCCUCCCUUCUCCAUCUGCAGGAGGCCUCCCCAUCUCCUGGAUAGAAUGCCCAUCUGUCCCAUACUGACUUCAAGCAAAAGGUCUUCCCUGAAGCCCCAUCUCCCUUUGCACCUUGACCAGCACGCUCCCACUGCAGAGGUCGGUCUCUCUGCUCUUAGGAAGCUGACAAAUAGCUCUCAGAACCAAUCUCUGUGUAUGAACAGCCGGUGCUUCUGCUGCUGCCCUGGGGAAUAGACAAUACAACUCAACCGGGUCCUCAGUGCUUUCAGAAGCUGCUUUCAAGGAGCAGAGGAGAAGGUUCUACCUGGACUUCCUGAGCAGGGCUGGCCACAUCAGGGUGGCAGGGCCGUUGGUCAAGAGGCCAAAGGAAUGGCCACUGACCACCUUGGCCUGCACCAAUUGGCUUUGGGAUGUCCAGACCACACCAGCUUCAGAGUGUCAGCAGACCAAGGCAGACUCAGACAGAAGUAUUCCGAGCACAGGAAGUACUUCCAGUUCUAGAACCAGGAGCCAGGAGCAUGAUCUGAGGUGUAGAUCCCUGCAUCUCCUGGGAAUUCUCCAUUAUAAAAUGAGUCAUUCUUCUGUAGACAAGUUUGAUUAUUUCUGCUUCUUCUCCACCGAUUCUUUUGGAUUUCAAGUCUAGAUAUUGCCUUGAAUUCUGUAUUUCUAUGGCAGAAUGAAAGAAAACUGUAGAAUACUGAGCAUGAAUAGAACUUUGCAAAGAGUUUUUCUGGCUAUUAAGCUGGCAGAGUAGACAUUGGCAGCAAAUCUCCACUUCUCUGGGACUUGGAAUUGUGGCACCUUUAAAGCAACUACUUAGCAAGGAGAAAGAGAAGAAGAGCUCUGGGAACCAAGAAAUAACUGUCAGGAAAGCUAAAAAUCACAGAGAAACAAGACAAUGCAGAGAAAAGAAGGAAUCAAUCUGGACUGCUAAUCCUAGCUCCUGGGGAGCGAGAGCCUGACACCACAAACAAGGCCCAAACACUGUUUGACUAAGGUGGAGUCCCAGCACCUGCUGUGCAAUAUAAGGAAGAGCCUGAGGGGUGGAAGUCAGCAGUUGCUGGCACUGCAUUUGCCUCACAGUUGCUCCAGAGAGACUGUGCUGUCCGCCGUCCCCUCUGCCACCCUCCAUCCUGCAGACUCUUGGUGCCGAACCUGCAGGAGCAGCUCAGUCCCGGCUCAGCCUCUUGCAAGGACACUGCUGAGCAGCACUCCAUCAUAUGUACUUGUGCAGGACACAGGUAAGGUGUGAGUGGAGGUCGCUG